AAUAAUAACUUACAAGGAGCAUUUACAAAAAAUGAAAAGUACAGCAAAGUCCUGGUAGACUCGAAUUUCUCAAAAUUAACUAGUAUAAACCAGUUCCGGGACGUGCAAAAUGUUGAAUCGUGCUAUCAGCUAAUAAGUUUGAUGAAUUUGCAAGUGUCAAUAGUAAACAAAUAAUUUAAUUUAAUCAAUUAACGCUAGUAUAUCAUGAUAGAUGUGAUUGCAUAUAUGAAAAGAUAGACUGCUUAUAAAAUCAAAACAAAUUUAAGUUUUCUAAGAACUGAUUUUAAAUGCUAUCUUAAGCAUUAAAUCAACAUUUUGCUUUUUACUCAUCAAGACCAGUCAUUUCUCAGCACUCAUACAAAUAACGUCAGUUAUCACUAGGCAUUGCGCUAUGCGUACGGAUUAGGUUUUUUCCGGAUCCCCAUCGUCGAACUUGUCUGGAAGAAAAGAUGGAAUCAUAUAUUUCAUGGAAGGAUAAAUCACCGUAAUCGAAAAAUUCGAAGGGCUGUUGAAAAUGUUCAAUCGCCAACAGAAAAUAUACAAUCGCUAACAAAAAAUGUGGGAUCGUUAACAGAAAAUAUUCGAUCGUAAACGUAAAAUAUUAAAUGUUAAAAUUGAAGUGUUCUGUUAAUAUCACAGCAAGCAGCCAUUUUUAAAUUAACGUUGACGAAGAUUUUGUGCGGAUUCAUUUCAUUAAUUUUAUUUUUCAAACAAACAAAACGAAUUGGCAUCGUUUCGAUAGUUGAGCAUCUUUGGUCCAUAAACAUUCUUAUGAAUGGAAUUUCUCGGAUCACAUACUAUCACGAAGGUGUAUCGAGACAUUGUCGUAAGGGAAUCUUGUAGAUUUAUAAUAUGAAAUAAACUAUUCACAAAAUUAAAAGUGCUCUAGAGCUCAA